ACCAUAAAUUCAUACAUUGUGCCCUGGCCUGAGCGGAUGGAAGUUCAACAUGUAGCUAGAUGUAGUAGGCUAAUGUUAACUAGCUGGCCUGGCGCAUCAUCUGGCACUAGAGUCCUGCAUCAGGCAACAACAAAAAAACUGUCAGUGGUCCUGGAGUUAAGAGUGAACUUGGGUAAAUACAAUGGGGGAAUUUCACUUGACAUGUGGACUGAUGAUUUUAGAAAAAUAGGCACGGUGGGCUUUUGGUUUAUCUCACACUAAAAACAGAAAUAAAUUAUUCUAUAUAACAAACUGGCUUUAUUUACAAAUUAGUAAGAAUGUCUCACCCCAUGUUCAAGAAUGGCCUUUUUUCCUUUAUUCAGAUUACAAUCGCUCACAUUCGGUUAUCUGAAAUGAAAUCAUCUCCAAAAUAUUGUUAUUUAAAAAAAAAAGCUAUAGAAAGUUGGUUGGAAUUUCAAUUUUAAAAAAAUGAACUUGUCUGUUAGCCCUACAUUAAAGACCAAAAUUGGUUCACGAAAAUUGUGAUCAAUAAAAAUAUUUACCAGUUUCAUUUAAGGACCUAAACAUUUACAGCUGUAUAGAUUGCAAAAUAGUUGGGAAGAGAUUUUCGAUGUACCAAUUCCAUGGCACAUGGUUUCUGAAUUGACACGCAAUUUUCAGUUUAUUAUAACCUACUAUAUUAUAACCAUAAGUCCACGCAAGUUUCUUCCAGGGUUAGGACUGUAACCACCAAAGGACUUGAAAAUGAGCCGGAACUGAGAGGAUCUCCAAAACUAAAGAGCAUACAACCAUGCCGACACCCAUCCGUGGAGAUCAUUGGACAAAGGGCUAGACAACGGGCCGCACCGAAAAAAACGCAUGGUUCCCAAGAAAGUGGCCACUGUAAUCAAUUGGGGCUCAGGGCGGGACCAUUCUGUUCAUCUGAUGAAGGUGGACAUGGAUCAGAUUCAAACUUUGAAGACCGAGAUCGAGUCAUUUGAUUCUUUUACCUUUAUUUAAGGUAGACCAGUAGAAAGAGCAACAUUCUCUGAGGGAAGAGAUACUGGUGACAGCUGAUGCAUUGGUCCAGAGCCAGGCGGUAUUGGCGGAGAGUCAAGCGGCAUUGGCGGAGAGUCAGGCGAAGAAUGGCGCGUUGAAGAGGGCGAGGAACAAGAUGGAGUCAUAAUCCAUGCCAGGCAUGCCAGUGAGCUCUGGAACUCUACCUCCGACAGGCAGUCAACAUACUGUACGUGGCGGGUUCAAUCGCUUUAUUGUUUAAUUAUUUAAGGCUCCUUUCUAUUCUCCGUGCUGGAGUUCUUUUAAGAAUAAAGUAGGCUAAUGAAGGCAACACAUUGUUGCUUACUGGAACACCCAAAGUCAUCCACUUGUUAUAAUAGGAUUUGAAGCAAUAGCUUACCCGCGUGUGGUCAACUAUUUCAGCACUGUUUCGCACUGCUCUGAGACAAGCAUGGGGACUGGUCUUGAUAAAUCAAUGAGAUUUUUAUUUUCACUGAAUCUCCGUUUGGGUAUUGGUUAGCCUACAAUUAGGGUGUGGAAAAGUUAGGAUUAUUUUUUGCUGUCCGUCAAUGAUUCCCAAACCAAAUGUAAAGAGCUUGAGCAAUUUUGACAAAAACUAUGAAAAUGCAUGUAAAUGUGGCCCUAAGGGUUGUGCACAAUCUCACAUUCAAUUCGUGCAUAUAUGUACAUAAUGUAUAUCUGCAGAUGUGAGUUUUUGUGUGUUUUUGUGUGGCUUUACAAUGUUUACUAUGUACUGUAGGCUAUGGGUACUUGUUAGAUUGCACAUUAGCCUAAUAAACAUCUGCAUUUUGAAAUUGUUUUUUUUACCAUGGUAGAUGCUGUGUUUUUUCUUGAUGGCCAAUAUUAAAAACUGUCAUAUGCA